rnacentral:rRNA from 1 species
GAUGAACGCUAGCGGCAGGCCUAAUACAUGCAAGUCGAACGGUCCGCUUCGGCGGAUAGUGGCGCACGGGUGCGUAACACGUAUGCAACCUACCUUACAUUGGGGGAUAGCCUUUCGAAAGGGAGAUUAAUACCGCAUAAGACAGUAGCUGGGCAAUCAGUAGCUGUUAAAGAUUUAUCGUUGUAAGCUGGGCAUGAGUCCAAUUAGUUAGUUGGUGAGGUAAUGGCUCACCAAGACGAUGAUUGGUAGGGGAACUGAGAGGUCAAUCCCCCACACUGGCACUGAGAUACGGGCCAGACUCCUACGGGAGGCAGCAGUAGGGAAUAUUGGGCAAUGGACGCAAGUCUGACCCAGCCAUGCCGCGUGCAGGAAGAAGGCGUUCUGCGUUGUAAACUGCUUUUAUAUAGGAAGAAACGACCCUUGCGAGGGGCAUUGACGGUAUUAUAUGAAUAAGCACCGGCUAACUCCGUGCCAGCAGCCGCCGCGGUAA